rnacentral:rRNA from 1 species
GACGAACGCUGGCGGCGUGCCUAAUACAUGCAAGUAGAACGCUGAAGGAGGAGCUUGCUCUUCUGGAUGAGUUGCGAACGGGUGAGCAACGCGUAGGUAACCUGCCUGGUAGCGGGGGAUAACUAUUGGAAACGAUAGCUAAUACCGCAUAACAGUAGAUGUUGCAUGACAUUUCCUUAAAAGGUGCACUUGCACCACUACCAGAUGGACCUGCGUUGUAUUAGCUAGUUGGUGGGGUAACGGCUCACCAAGGCGACGAUACAUAGCCGACCACAGAGGGUGAUCGGCCACGCUGGGACUGAGACACGGCCCAGAAUCCUGCGGGAGGCAGCCGUAGCGGAUUCUCGGCAAUGGAAGGAAGUGUGAAUAAGCAACGCCGCGUGAGUGACGAAGGUAUUCGGAUCGUGAAGCUCUGGUGUGAGAGAGGAACGAGUAUGAGAGUGGAAAGUUCACAUUGUGACGGUAUCUUACGAGAAAGCGACGGCUAACUACGUG